ACCCACACAGGUGAUUUCAGUUAUUGUGGCUGAUUAAACCUCUGCUCAGGUUGAAGUGGGCCAGAGCUUAGAUGGGUAUUUAUAAGGUCACAAAUCUUUUCUACCAAAAACAAUGGCAAAGCUGUCAUUUGUCCUGUCCUAACUAGGAAACAACAAAGCUAACAAAAGACU